CUUGAACUGGACGUAACAGCCUCUUAUUAAAGUAGAAGAAGAAGUAUUUCCGUGUUAGCUUAAAAGAGGAAAGUUAGCUGCGAAGAAUCUUUUCUUGUUUUGGUUUUUUCUUCUCUUAAUCAGGAUGAGCGCGAGUCCAAAAGAAGAAGAAGAAGAAAGUUACGAGCAAAUGUUUGCAAAAAGAUUCUCUGCUGAGGACUUAGAGUUCCAACAAUACGUGCAAAGAGAUGCUGAUAAACCUCCCAUUGUGGAGGGAUGGAGGAGCAGAGGAGGAGGAAGAGACAGAAGGUUCCAGAACCGCCAAGGAGGAGGAGGAGGAGGAGGAGAAGGAAGAGGAGGAGGAGGAUGGCAUCAGAGGAAGGAACAUGGCGGACAUCAUCAUCAUCACAGAGCACGUUAUGAUCCAUACUGAUGUCUACUUCUGAUAUUUCAUCUUGAUGUCCAGUAUUGACGAUGAUGUCAUCCUUCACUCCACCAUCUGACAUAUUUUCACAAUAAAACAUUUGUUGUUCUUG